UGAGGAAUAUUGGUCAAUGGCCGAGAGGCUGAACCAGCCAAGUCGCGUGAAGGAUGAAGGAUCUAUGGUUUGUAAACUUCUUUUAUACGGGAAUAAAGUGAGCCACGUGUGGUUUUUGUAUGUACCGUAUGAAUAAGCAUCGGCUAACUCCGUGCCAGCAGCCGCGGUAAUACGGAGGAUGCGAGCGUUAUCCGGAUUUAUUGGGUUUAAAGGGUGCGUAGGUGGUCUUUUAAGUCAGCGGUGAAAGUUUGUGGCUCAACCAUAAAAUUGCCAUUGAAACUGGGAGACUUGAGUAUGUUUGAGGUAGGCGGAAUGCGUGGUGUAGCGGUGAAAUGCAUAGAUAUCACGCAGAACUCCGAUUGCGAAGGCAGCUUGCCAAGCCAUAACUGACACUGAAGCACGAAAGCGUGGGUAUCAAACAGGAUUAGAUACCCUGGUAGU
rnacentral:rRNA from 1 species